ACUCCUACGGGAGGCAGCAGUGGGGAAUAUUGCACAAUGGGCGCAAGCCUGAUGCAGCCAUGCCGCGUGUGUGAAGAAGGCCUUCGGGUUGUAAAGCACUUUCAGUCGUGAGGAAGGUAGUGUAGUUAAUAGCUGCAUUAUUUGACGUUAGCGACAGAAGAAGCACCGGCUAACUCCGUGCCAGCAGCCGCGGUAAUACGGAGGGUGCGAGCGUUAAUCGGAAUUACGUGGGCGUAAAGCGCAUGCAGGUGGUUUGUUAAGUCAGAUGUGAAAGCCCGGGGCUCAACCUCGGAAUAGCAUUUGAAACUGGCAGACUAGAGUACUGUAGAGGGGGGUA
rnacentral:rRNA from 1 species